UACGUCGGGGGCAAGCGUUGUCCGGAAUCAUUGGGCGUAAAGCGCGUGUAGGCGGUCCGAUAAGUCGGUUGUGAAAGUCCAGGGCUCAACCCUGGGAUGCCGACCGAUACUGUCGGACUAGAGUUCGGAAGAGGCGAGUGGAAUUCCCGGUGUAGCGGUGAAAUGCGCAGAUAUCGGGAGGAACACCAAUGGCGAAGGCAGCUCGCUGGGACGUUACUGACGCUGAGACGCGAAAGCGUGGGGAGCAAACAGG
rnacentral:rRNA from 1 species